AGCGACAGGGAGGGAUGCGCGCCUGGGUGUAGUUGUGGGGGAGGAAGUGGCUAGCUCAGGGCUUCAGGGGACAGACAGGGAGAGAUGACUGAGUUAGAUGAGACGAGGGGGCGGGCUGGGGGUGCGAGAAGGAAGCUUGGCAAGGAGACUAGGUCUAGGGGGACCACAGUGGGGCAGGCUGCAUGGAAAAUAUCCGCAGGGUCCCCCAGGCAGAACAGCCACGCUCCAGGCCAGGCUGUCCCUACUGCCUGGUGGAGGGGGAACUUGACCUCUGGGAGGGCGCCGCUCUUGCAUAGCUGAGCGAGCCCGGGUGCGCUGGUCUGUGUGGAAGGAGGAAGGCAGGGAGAGGUAGAAGGGGUGGAGGAGUCAGGAGGAAUAGGCCGCAGCAGCCCUGGAAAUGAUCAGGAAGGCAGGCAGUGGGUGCAGGGCUGCAGGAGGGCCGGGAGGGCUAAUCUUCAACUUGUCCAUGCCAGCAGCCCCUUUUUUUCCAGACCAAGGGCUGUGAACCCGCCUGGGGAUGAGGCCUGGUCUUGUGGAACUGAACUUAGCUCGACGGGGCUGACCGCUCUGGCCCAGGGUGGUGGCAGUGCUCCUUUUGGACUUUUCUCUAGGUUUGGCGCUAAACUCUUCUUGUGAGCUCACUCCACCCCUUCUUCCUCCCUUUAACUUAUCCAUUCACUUAAAACAUUACCUGGUCAUCUGGUAAGCCCGGGACAGUAAGCCGAGUGGCUGUUGGAGUCGGUAUUGUUGGUAAUGGUGGAGGAAGAGAGGCCUUCCCGCUGAGGCUGGGGUGGGGCGGAUCGGUGUUGCUUGCCUGCAGAGAGGGUGGGGAGUGAAUGUGCACCCUUGGGUGGGCCUGCAGCCAUCCAGCUGAAAGUUACAAAAAUGCUUCAUGGACCGUGGUUUGUUACUAUAGUGUUCCUCAUGGCGAGCAGAUGGAACCGGGAGACAUGGAGUCCCUGGCCAGUGUGAGUCCUAGCAUUGCAGGAGGGGAGACCCUGGAGGAGAGAGCCCGCCUCAAUUGAUGCCUGCAGAUUGAAUUUCCAGAGGCUUAGGAGGAGGAAGUUCUCCAAUGUUCUGUUUCCAGGCCUUGCUCAGGAAGCCCUGUAUUCAGGAGGCUACCAUUUAAAGUUUGCAGAUGAGCUUAUGGGGGGCAAUCUUAAAAAGUCCACAGCAGAUGCAUCCGGCUCGAGGGGCCAUCAGCUUUGAAUAAAUGCUUGUUCCAGAGCCCAUGAAUGCCAGCAGGCACCCCUCCUUUCCUGGGGUAAAGGUUUUCAGAUGCUGCAUCUUCUAAAUUGAGCCUCCGGUCAUACUAGUUUUGUGCUUGGAACCUUGCUUCAAGAAGAUCCCUAAGCUGUAGAACAUUUUAACGUUGAUGCCACAACGCAGAUUGAUGCCUUGUAGAUGGAGCUUGCAGAUGGAGCCCCGUGACCUCUCACCUACCCACCUGUUUGCCUGCCUUCUUGUGCGUUUCUCGGAGAAGUUCUUAGCCUGAUGAAAUAACUUGGGGCGUUGAAGAGCUGUUUAAUUUUAAAUGCCUUAGACUGGGGAUAUAUUAGAGGAAGCAGAUUGUCAAAUUAAGGGUGUCAUUGUGUUGUGCUAAACGCUGGGAGGGUACAAGUUGGUCAUUCCUAAAUCUGUGUGUGAGAAAUGGCAGGUCUAGUUUGGGCAUUGUGAUUGCAUUGCAGAUUACUAGGAGAAGGGAAUGGUGGGUACACCGGUAGUGCUCUUUUGUUCUUGCUUCGUUUUUUUAAACUUGAACUUUACUUCGUUAGAUUUCAUAAUACUUUCUUGGCAUUCUAGUAAGAGGACCCUGAGGUGGGAGUUGUGGGGGACGGGGAGAAGGGGACAGCUUGGCACCGGUCCCGUGGGCGUUGCAGUGUGGGGGAUGGGGGUAUGCAGCUUGGCACUGGUACUGGGAGGGAUGAGGGUGAAGAAGGGGAGAGGGUUGGUUAGAGAUACAGUGUGGGUGGUGGGGGUGGUAGGAAAUGCAGGUUGAAGGGAAUUCUCUGGGGCUUUGGGGAAUUUAGUGCGUGGGUGAGCCAAGAAAAUACUAAUUAAUAAUAGUAAGUUGUUAGUGUUGGUUAAGUUGUUGCUUGGAAGUGAGAAGUUGCUUAGAAACUUUCCAAAGUGCUUAGAACUUUAAGUGCAAACAGACAAACUAACAAACAAAAAUUGUUUUGCUUUGCUACAAGGUGGGGAAGACUGAAGAAGUGUUAACUGAAAACAGGUGACACAGAGUCACCAGUUUUCCGAGAACCAAAGGGAGGGGUGUGUGAUGCCAUCUCACAGGCAGGGGAAAUGUCUUUACCAGCUUCCUCCUGGUGGCCAAGACAGCCUGUUUCAGAGGGUUGUUUUGUUUGGGGUGUGGGUGUUAUCAAGUGAAUUAGUCACUUGAAAGAUGGGCGUCAGACUUGCAUACGCAGCAGAUCAGCAUCCUUCGCUGCCCCUUAGCAACUUAGGUGGUUGAUUUGAAACUGUGAAGGUGUGAUUUUUUCAGGAGCUGGAAGUCUUAGAAAAGCCUUGUAAAUGCCUAUAUUGUGGGCUUUUAACGUAUUUAAGGGACCACUUAAGACGAGAUUAGAUGGGCUCUUCUGGAUUUGUUCCUCAUUUGUCACAGGUGUCUUGUGAUUGAAAAUCAUGAGCGAAGUGAAAUUGCAUUGAAUUUCAAGGGAAUUUAGUAUGUAAAUCGUGCCUUUACUACAUGUGUGAUCUGAAAACCCUGCUUGGUUCUGAGCUGCGUCUAUUGAAUUGGUAAAGUAAUACCAAUGGCUUUUUAUCAUUUCCUUCUUCCCUUUAAGUUUCACUUGAAAUUUUAAAAAUCAUGGUUAUUUUUAUCGUUGGGAUCUUUCUGUCUUCUGGGUUCCAUUUUUUAAAUGUUUAAAAAUAUGUUGACAUGGUAGUUCAGUUCUUAACCAAUGACUUGGGGAUGAUGCAAACAAUUACUGUCGUUGGGAUUUAGAGUGUAUUAGUCACGCAUGUAUGGGGAAGUAGUCUCGGGUAUGCUGUUGUGAAAUUGAAACUGUAAAAGUAGAUGGUUGAAAGUACUGGUAUGUUGCUCUGUAUGGUAAGAACUAAUUCUGUUACGUCAUGUACAUAAUUACUAAUCACUUUUCUUCCCCUUUACAGCACAAAUAAAGUUUGAGUUCUAAACUCAUUAGAAUUGUUGUAUUGCUAUGUUACAUUUCUCGACCCCUAUCACAUUGCCUUCAUAACGACUUUGGAUGUAUCUUCAUAUUGUAGAUUUAGGUCUAGAUUUGCUAGCUCCAAGUAAUUAAGGCCAUGUAGGAGAGCAUGGUAACCACAGAUAGAACUGGUAUUAUCCCAAGUGGUCUGCAGACUGCUGAGUGGGGAUGGGAUCUGCUCUCUGUUGAGAGUUGGUAAUCAUUGGUUUGAAAUGUGAUGAAACCACUCAAGCCAAUGAAGGUGGGUGUGUAGGUGGGGAGUACUUUGCCAUAAUAUUUUAAAACAUUACCUGGUUAGAGUUCUAAGUGGUACUUAUUUUUGUUUGGUUAGGGGAAAGCCUGAAUAAAAACAGAAAUGGACACAUAAUAUGCAUAUUCCAUAGUCUUUGGGAGGCUGGAAUGUGCCUGGGAUUUGGGUCUAAGUGUAUGCGUAAUUCUUACCUCACUAAAGAAUUUGCCUUGUUUUUUUCCUUUUGGUGAGUGACUAAAACGUCUGGGCUUCCCUGUGUGCGUGCUACAGUAAGCAAGCAGAGGCUGUGCAAAGGUGUGAGCAGGAUCACGUGGAAUCUGGAGGAUACAUCUUGGCUUGCAAACUGCCUCUGUCUCCUGGGUGGGACUGUUCUGUCCUUGCACUGCUGUUCUGUGUUACCUCUUGGGGUGUAAGGUUUUGCUUACAGGAGACAAACUUUGGGCGUAGAAUGGAAGCCACUGCCAGCCUCUGUGCUGAGAAGGAAGGUGCUUGUUUCAAAGGGAGCAGCAAGGGAGGCUUGUUCUACUCACCUGGGCCUGUUUGCCUGAGAAGGGGAGAUAAGGGCUGAACUGGGACUAGCCAGGGGGACCAACACAAAUGGUGGGGGAUCAUGACCUGAAGGAUUCUUUCCUUCCCAUGAGCUGCAGGGCUGGUUGCCGUCCUUGCAACUGUGUCUUAUUUGCCUGUGCCGUUAUAUCUUGGUGACCCCUCCACGUGUACACUACUGACAAACGGGUGGAGUGCUGGGGAGAAGUCACUGUGCCGCCCACCUAGUAAACCUUCUGUCUGUGCUCAUGGCAUCUCCAAGAUGGGGCACUGCUGUGUGCAGAAUCCAGGGUCCUCUUUCUGCUUGCAACUCCUUUCCCUGGAUGCCCCAGAAACAAUCCAGGCCUCCUUUCCUAUCUUACCCCUUUGCUUUGCUUUUUACCCCAGCACCUCUAUAACCGCCUUCUCUUCUUUUCAGAACUCCUUGUUUCUCGUCCUGUUUUUUAUGAUUACAAAACUCUUGCUUCCACCCUGGAAGAUAACUGCUAUAGAUGCCUGUAUGUAAAUGGUGCUGUCUCCAGCAACUGGCAUGCUGAAGAAGAAUUGAUUCACGGGGUAUAAAUGUUGGGGAUUGGAAGUGGGGAUGAAAUGGCACUUGUUGAUACAGGAGCAGAGAGGUGAGGCCGACUGCUGAAGACAGCUCGCCACCCUCCUUGCCUCCACUCCAAUCCAGGGGCUGGGGCCACAUUCUUUGCCUUCAUUUAUCCUCAGAUCAGGUGAGAUCGACAGGAGGUGUUGAUGGCAGUGCCAGCAAUUAUUGCUAAUCCGUUUGCAUCCUUAUGCAUAGAUCUGAAUUCAGACUUUGUGAAUUUCCAGAGGUGUGGGUAAUAUAAUAGAAUUCAGUGAGUGGGCAUGGCUGAUCUUGUGCAAAUUAAAAGUUAUGGGGCAUAAGAAUAGCAAAAGUUGAACUUCUUUUAAAAAGGAAAGUACCCUGAGAGCCAGUAUUGGUUGAGGCUCUUCAGUAUGCCCAGGUUGGCAGCACUGAGAACCGCAGGAACGGCCUGUUGUUACAAAAAGGAGAUUGACUCAGCUGCCCUUGGUGCAUCUGACUGACUAUGACUGCUGAGAGAUUCCAAGGACCCUUAAUGCCAGGGCUAACCUCUCCAUGUGCAGUGAGACCUCUGGAGGAAGUGUCAUCCUCUGGCUUUGUGUGGUACUCAUUAUGGUGCAGUGCGGGCAUGAAAUGAAGACACCCAAAUAGGCUUACAGAUACGAUAUGUUUUAAAUGUUCGUAUUUAACAAAAACAUACUGACACUGUUUGGAAAUGGCAACAGGAAGAUAGCAAAAUGAAUACUAACAUUACGAAAAGAUGAACAGGUACAUGUUCCAAGGCAGGUGGCUGUGAACUUCCUCUGAGUGAAGGCAUCCCCUCCAGCACCUUUCAGCCUGCUAGUUAGGACGACCCGCCGCCACCCUCCAGGACCUCCAGCCCUGCACUGCCUUUCCUCUCUUUUAAAUAAUUCUUCAUUGAGUUCUAAUAUGUAAAAAAAAAAAGUUUACUGUAAAGUUUGCAAAUAAGGAAAUUUUUUUUAAAAGUCCUCAGUAAUCUUACCAGUAACAAUUGUUAUGGGCACAUUUGCUUUUGGAAGAUUUCUUUUGUAUGCAUGGGAUAAGUACAUUUUUAAACAAAAAUGGGAUUAUGCCAUAAAUUCUAUUUUGUGACUUUAAUAUAUAGUGAACACCUUUUUUAAUGAUGACAGGAUGUUCCCUUGCAUGGCUGUAUCAAUUUAAACAAUCUUGUUUCAAUGGGCAUACAGGGUAUUUUCUAGUUUUUUUUUCCUCUUAGAAAAUAAUACUUGCGAUGACUUUCCUUGUAGCUCAGACUUUUUCACGUCUGUUGUUAUCUCUUUGGGAAUGCUGAAUACAUACAUUUCGAGAAGGAAAUGACUGUUAAACUCUUAAGACUUCAGGUUCAUAUUGCUAAACUGCCCAGCAGGGAGGGAUUUUUUCAAUUAGUGUUCUCACUGGUGAGGCAAACCUGAUGCCUUCCCCUCUUCCUCAGAACCGGCUUUAUCACAUUGAAAACCUUUGCUCCUCCGACGGAUCGAGUCUGCUUUCCCUCUGGAUGUGAGCAUUGCUUUGUCUGCUGGUGACUGAACAUCUCUACCUUGUGUCAAUUGGCCAUUUGUGGUGUGUGUGUGUGUGCGUGUGUGUGUGUGUGUGUGUGUAUGAUUUUCUAAUUCCUAGUCAUUUUUCUAUUGAUUGUUUUGCAAAAGCCAUUUACAUCUUAAGGAUAUUGAUAAUCUUUUGUUAUAUUUGAUGCAAAUAUUUUUUUCCAGUUUAUAGGUUGCCUUUUAAUUUUGUGUUUCAGGUAGAUAAAAGUUAAACGAUUUUCUUAGGUUAGUUUAUCACUGUGGUUUCUGAACUUGUUAUGUGUAGAUCUUUUCCACCCCAAGAGUACAUAAAUAUUAAUCCAUACUUUCUUAUGGAACUUGUAUGGUUUCGUUUUUUACAUUUAAACCUUCUUCCCCGUGGUGUGUGUUGUGGAAUCUGUGUUUGUGUGAGGAGGGGCAUGGUGCUCUCAGAACCCACCUCCUGUGGCCAGAGAGCCCUGUCCUGUGAGGGUGGUUGUCACAGUGGCAGGGUUCAAUUCAGAAGACCUUGAGGGCAGGCUGAUGUUUCCUGAAUGGGCCCCUGGUUGUUGCUUGUCCCUGACUCUCCAUUUCCCCAUCUGAGUGGAUUUGGACCUAAUAGGGCACUGGAGCUGGUUCGAAUCCUGACUGGACUACUUGGCAACUUUAUGUCUGGGAGCAAGUUACUUAACCUCCCCAAGCCUGUGUCUGUGAAAUGCGGGUAAAUGAAUGUAGAUGUUUGGCAGCAGCUACUCCUUGUUGAGCUCUCACAGUGAACUCUCCUGCCUCUGCCCUCCUUCCCCGCCUCCCCUGGUGCCUAGCGUCAGGUCUAGCCACUUCCUCCUGGGCCCCUCUCCCUUUUCUGUGGCUGGCUGCCUGCCCGCCUGGCGCUGGACCUUUCAUGUAACGGGAAUCAGCAUGUAUAUUCUGGUCUGGUCUGUUUCUACACUUAAUUUUGUUUCCAGUAGUAUUUCCCUGUACCGGCAGAGUUCACAAACACAUUUGAAGAGGCUUUUUCUCAGGAUUCUUAACCUUCCCAAAGGAAGUCCCAUGGAUGGGUUUCUAGAAGUCUAUAAAUGCUCUGAAAUUGUAUUUUUCUGUGGAAAGCAUAACUUUCAUCUGCUUGUUCGUGCUCAAAAAAGAUCAUGAAUGAAUGAUUGCAUGAUUUUAUGCCAUUGUGCUUAUACUAAAGGAUAUGUAGCCCAUCUCUUGAGCUGUUAAACUGUUUUGACUACUUUAAAUCGUGCAGCUGUGAGCAUCUCUGUAAAUUUAGUGUACACAUGUAUCCCCUGGAGUGGCAUUGCCUCGGCAGUGAGCACUUAUGGUUUUAUAACUCUCUUCACAGACUCAAAUGACUCCAGAAAGCUACACUUCCUGUUGUGAGUAUAUGAUAUCCAUUUCCCUACAUAGCCACUAACAUCAGGUUUUUACAAUUUUAUUUAUUUCUUGCUACUUUAAGAAAUUUUUGUGGUGAAAUACAUAUAAUAGAAGUUGACUAUCUGAAUCAUUUUUAAGUAUACAUUCAGUAGUGUUAAGUAUGUCGCCAUUGUUGUACAACCAAUCUCCAGAACUUUUUCAUCUUGCAAAACAAACUCUGUACCCAUUAAAUAACAUUAAACAUUCCAUUCCCUCCAGCCUCAGCAACCCCAUUCUACUUUCUGUUUCUGUGAGUUUGACUAUUCCAAGCACUUCAUAUCAGUUAAAUCAUGAAGUAUUUGUCUGUCUGUGACUGGCUUAUUUCUCUGAGCACAGUGUCCUCGAGAUGCGUCUAUGUUGUAGCAUAUGUCAGAAUUUCCUUCCUUUUUAAAAGAUCCAAAUAAUAUUCUUAUUUUAUAUCUUUUUUUUAUCCAUUCAUCCAUUAGUGGACACUUGGGUUGCUUUUGGCUAUUGUAAAUAAUGGUGCUAUGUACAAAUAUCUAUAUUAUUGUAUUUACAAGUAUAAUGCUGUAAUGUACACACAUCUUUUUGAGAUCCUACCUUCAGUUCUUUUGAGUAUAUAGCCAGAAGUGGUAUUACUAAAUCUUACGAUAUUUCUAUUUUUAAUUUAUUGAGGAACCACUGUAGUUUUUCAUAGCAACUGCACCAUUUUACGUUCUCACCAAGAGUGCACAAGGGUUCCGAGGUUCCCACAUCCUCCCCAACACUUGUUAUUUUCUGCUUUUUUUAGAUUGCAGCCAUCAUAGUGGGUGUGAGGUGACAUUUCAUUGUGGUUUUGAUUUGCAUUUCCCUAAUGAGGAGUGAUGCUGAGCAUCUUUUCAUAUGCUUACUGGUCAUUUGUAUGUUGUCUUUGGAAAAAUGUCUAUUCAAGUCCUUUGACUAUUUUAAAAAUUGGGUUAUUAGAGUUAUCGUUGUUGUUGACUUGUAGGAGUUUCUUUCUAUAUUCUGGAUAUUAAUCCCCUAUCAGAUAUAUGAUUUGCAAAUAUCUUCUCUUAUUCCAUAAGGUUACUUUUUCACUUUGUUGAUUGUGUUCUUUGAUGUAUAGAAGUUUUUAGUUUUGAAAUAGUCUAAUUUAUCUGUUUUUACUUUUGUGGUCUGUGCUUUUGGUGUCAUAUCCAAGAAAUCCUUGCCAAAUCCAACGUUAUAAGGUACUUUUAAGGUAUUUUAGUUGUCUUAGUCUAUAUUUCUGUACUCACCUUUCUUUAUCCACUCAUCAGUUGAUGGGCAUGUAGGUUGGUUCCAUAUCUUUGCAAUUCUGAAUUGUGCUAUGAUCAGGUGUCUUUUUAGUAUAAUGAUUUACUCUCCUUUGGGUAGAUACCCAGUAGUGGGAUUGCUGGAUCGAAUGGUUUUUAUAAUUUUCUAUUUUACCACAGUUUCUCUCUGCAUUUUUCCUCUUUGACCACUAACCAUGUGAAAUUCUCAUAUUGACCUUUAUAAUGAUCAUGAACUCUUAGUAUCAUUGGGAAGGCCACAUUUGCCACUUAUGAUUGUAAACCUUAUCCUCCAUUUUUCCUGUUAUUGUUGGUGCAAAAAGCACCUAUUAUACCAGGACUUUAAAAAUCAGUCUGAUAAGUCUUUGAUAAGUCUAAUAAUAAUAACUGAUAAGUCCAUUGAAUUUGCUUCUGAUUACUUUUUCUUUAGUAGCUAAACAUGUAUGUACUCCUAUGAUUACAAUGAACACUCCUCUCCAUUUAAAUUAAUUAUUUACAUUGAUGAAAUAGCAAAAUGUUAAUGACUAAAUACUGUCUUGGUUUUUUCGUUCCAGGUCAGUCAAUAUUAACUUCUUAUAAUUUUCUUUUUUUUCUUUAUGUGUGUGUGUGUGUGUAUUUUUUUUUUUUUAAUUUCAAUGGCUUUUGGGGUACAAAUGGCUUUUGGUCAUAUAGAUGAAUUCUACAGUAGUGAAGUCUGAGAUUUUACUGCACCGGUCACCUGAGUAGUGUACAUUGUACCCAAUAUGUGGUUUUUUAUACCUUGCCCCCCUCUUACCCUCCCCACUUUGAGUCUCUAGUGUCCAUUAUGUCACUCUGUAUACCUUUUUGUACCCAUAAGUUAGCUCUCACUUAUAAGUGAGAACACACAGUAUUUGGUUUUCCAUUCCUGAGUUGCUUCACUUAGAAUAAUAUCCUCCAGCUCCAUCCAAAAUUGCUGCAAAAAAAAAAAAAACCACAAACAUUAUUUUGUUCUUUUUUAUUGCUAAGUCAUAUUCCAUGGUGUAGAGAUACCACAUUUUAUUUAUCCACUCACUGGUUGAUGGGUUGGUUCCACAUCUUUGCAAUUGUGACUUGUACUGCCAUCAAGUGUCUUUCUGGUAUAAUGACUUCUUUUCCUUUGGGUAGAUACCCAGGAGUGGGAUUGCUAGAUCAAAUGGUUCUUAACAUUUUCUCUCUGGAUCUAUUUCUGGAAAUUUUAGGCUCCAGUUUUUGUUGUUGUUGUUAAUAAAAUGCAAUGGAAUGUAAUGAUCAUCACUUUUCAUUAUGCUUUAAAAUCUGGUAAAUGGAGGCUAGAACACUCCUGUAAGGCAAGAAUAUUCUCUCUGUUGGAACUCAAAUACACAGAACUGGGUAAAUCUCAAUCUUAAUCUUUGAUUCAGGACACAACAUGGCUCUCUUUUACUUGCUUUCUUUAAUUGUUUUUUAAUAAUGUGGUAAGCAUUUCUGAAUCUCCUAUCCAAUACAAAAACUAGGACAAUACAGACAGUAACUCCUAUGGUUACAAUGAACACUCCUCUCCACUUAAAUUAAUUAUUUACACUGAUGAAAUUGAAAUAGCAAAAUUUUAAUGACUAAAUACUGUCUUUGAUUUUUUGUUCCAGGUCUGUCAAUAUUAACUUCUUAUAAUUUUCUUUUUUUUUCUUUAUGUGUGUGUGUGUGUGUGUAUAUAUAUAUAUUUAAUUUCAAUGGCUUUUGGGGUACAAAUGGCUUUUGGUCAUAUAUAUGAGUUCUACAGUAGUGAAGUCUGAGAUUUUACUACACCUUCCACUUAUGUGGUCCCACACCACCCGCCUCCCCUGCCGCCUCCUGCCACCCCCUAGGCCAAGGUAAUAAUCAUCCUGAAUCCUGGGUUUAUCUCUCACUUGCUUUCUUUUCAUAUAAUUUUGCAAAAGAAUCUGAUCUAAAUGUGUUUUUCAGAGUAUAUAUUUAUAUUUUAGCUGUUCUUAGAGAAAAUUUAUUAUUUUGCAUGUAAUCUUAUGGAACAUUCUCAUUUAAUACCAUGGUAAGAUUCAGCCCUUGCCCAGGGGAUAGUUCAUUUAGUUUGUUUACUGGAUAGAGCUCAUCAUGUGACUAUACCUCAGUUAGUUUAUCAGUUCUCCCAUCCAUGGUGACUAGGUUGCCUCUCAGCCUCUCAACAACACUGUUUCUCAGUGUCCUUGUAGAAGUGAUAUGUGGGUGUUUUCUCCUUACACAGAGUUGAAAGGUGACGACAACAACGUUGGCACUACCAAUCCCCCACCCUCCAGAGGGGUAACCAGUGUUACCAGUUUGCUGUGUUUCCUGCUACACCUCGCCUUAUUCACUUCCAUUUGUAUCUGAAAAACGUGUUGCAUGGUUUCUUUUCUAUAGAAGUGGUAAAAUGCUAUUGUGUCCUGUACAUUAUUGAUUACUUUUUUUCAUUUAACAGUAGGGAGAUGCCUGGGAGUACACAGAGAACUGCCCUCAUUGUUUUCAACUUCUGCACUGUAUGUCUGUGAGUUUAGCCAUUCUGCUGUUAAUGGAAAUUUACAGUAUUCUAAUCUUUUGAUAUUACAAACAGUUCUGUGCGAUCAUCGUCAUACACAACCCCUUGUGCACAAUGCAUGAGUGUUUCUCAGGGUAGGUACCAAGAAGUGAAAUUCCUGGGUCAUAGGGCGUGAGUCCGACAUUUUUCUCCAUUCUGCCCUGUUGCCCUCCAGAGUGGGUGUCCAGCUUUGCAUACCUAAGUAUGAGAGUAUCUGUUGUUCAUAUCCUCUACGACGCUCCAUAUAUGAAACUUAAGUUUCUGCUAGUUGCCAUCUUUGAUCUAUCAUGUAUGCAGUGACCUACUAAGACUGUAAUUGGUACAGUAGAUUCUUGUCAUCUGUGUGUGAAUUUAGCAUUCAUGGGCUUAAUGCUGACAAGGCCCCCAGGGUCCAAGACAUAUAAUCAUGUAUAAUUUUGUCAAGGUAUAAUUUUUUAAAUUGCUUUUGUCAUGUGUCUGCUGGUGAUGCCCAACCCAGUGCUCUGCACCCAGGUCACACUGUGGCUUUGUCCUCUGCUUAUGCCUGCAUUGCAGCAACUGUCCUGAAGAGACCAAAAUUAUGCAGAUUUAGGUAAGUCCAUGGCUAAUGUUAUUAUAUUAUGUGCUAUUGUAAUGGAUGGGGCUGUGGAGUGUAUGAAUUUAUAAAUCACUGGUCUUGUAAUUAAAAUUCAAACACUAUAGAAAAAGGCCAUGUAGAAGAUAAAAGUUCCUCUAUAAUCCCGGACCCCUAAGAUAACUACUAAUGACAACUUCAUUUAUAUUCCUUCAGACAUUUUCUGGCUGUGGAUGUACUAAAAUGUAUCCUAUUAUUCUCUGCCCUAAAAUGGAAUCAUACAAGGUGUACUGUUAUUUUUAUGGCUCUAUAACAUGUCAUAUUGUACGUGUUGGUAUGGUCAUUUUAACCAUUUUUCUAGUGAUGGCUUUGAGGUUAUUUGCAGUUUCCUAGCCAUCUCAAAGUGUGCUGCGGGGAUCUCUUUUGCAUCCCUCUGGGUGCAGAGCUGAGGCACCCAGAGGCAGUGUCCAGAGGAGGCAGCAUCUGUAGGUGUCUUCACCUGCUCUGGCUCUUGGCACAUCUGGUUGGUGACACUGUUUUGUGAGAUGGGUUGAAAGCACGUGCUGCCAAAAUAGAAUAAUGUUGGUCCUCUCCUCAUGUGCCGUGGAACUGGGGUAAAACUGCGUAGUGGCUGCAGCUGCCUGUCCAUACCGGAAUCGAGUAUAACACGGUGCCUGGCUUAGCACAAAACAGUAGUGGGUCCUGCAGGCCCCAGAGUCUAAUUCCUGGUAUUCUUUCCCCUACACAGAUUAAAUAAACCAAAAACAAACUAUUCUAGGAAAGCGUCUGUGACAUUUGUAAAAAGUGGUAUUUAAUGAUCUUUUAUUCACUUGUCUGUUUAGUUUGUUGAAAUCUUAAGUGGCAUCCUGGUCUGGGAAGGAGUGCUGUCUGCGCCUGCCCUCCGCUGGGCACAGCGUGGCUGCUUCAGGGGCUAAGCACACACUUUCUGUCUUCUAAAGGGCCGCCACAUGCCAGGAGCUCAGGUGUGAGCCCGGCUCUGGCUCUUACCUCAUAGGGUCACUCAUAGGGGCACAGGGAGCAGAACAUUGUACACAGCGAGGCACCACCCGGCUUGGCAUCUGCCUCGGUGGACUUACUACCUCUAGAAGGAAAUACCUGAGUUCCUCUGGCCUCAGCUCCUAGAGUGACUGGUGUGCUGUCCCUGUUACUCUUCUGUCAAGGUGACAACUGUGUGACCCAUCAUCUGUGUGUCAAAGCAAGGCCCUGCCUGGGCCUCUGCUCCUGUGCUGACCCCAAAGGCAAAUGCUUUGCUAGUUUCCUUCCAGUUAAUUUCACCUAUGAAUAGAUGUGUGAAAACUGUUCAAAGCCAUACCUGCACAUGUUUGAACUUCAAACCCUGUGGGUGAUUCAGUGGCAUCUUUCUCUAACCCCCAGCCUCCCUUCCCACAGAGGCCACCGUCAUGGCCAGUUGCUGCAGUUUCUUUCCAGAGAACCUGUGUAUGUGUAAAGCUGUACAGGCGUGGGUACACCACACAGCCUGUCUUGCACUGUGGACUGUUGAGUUACUAGUACAUCUAGAAUUCUCCUGGCUAUUCCAGGCUGCAUGUUUACCUUAACCUUCCCUGUGAUGUCUUCAUGCCGUUGUCUUCUUAUGCAAGAAUAAGGUACGUCUUUCCAUCCACUCACGUCUAUUUAAUUUGACUUUGCAUUACACAGAAAGCUGGUCUUGGUCUGUCUACCUCGGCAUCUAGUUGUCCUCACUGCCCCCUAGCCGACCCCACCCCAUCUGACUGACUACCCCAUCACAGAGUACUUUUAUUUACGUUUUGCUCUGCCUAAUGGUUACUUGAUACUGUCACGCCGACAGUGUCCAGUUCAGUGGUCUUUGCAGUUGAAAUGCUCCCGUACACACUGUCUUGUUAAAAAUGCCAGUAAGUUCAUACAAACCCAGCUUGCACCCAAGGUCACAUUCAGAGAGCGUAGGGCUGGGAUGGGUUGUUUUCCAAGCUUCUGCCACUGUGUGGCUAGCUCUUCCCACUGGGAAGUUCUGUGUACCCGGAAUGUCGGAGUGGAGUCCUGUUCUAGUGUCCAGCACCUGACCCUGUGCCCAACCCCUCAACAGCCUAUUCCUGCUGUCCACAGCCUGCUGGAACUUUUUACAAAAUAUGUUGCCAUGCUGGACCCUGGGCACUGGACAUAAGCCCCCUGGCAGCCUUUUUCAUGUCACCCAAAGGGGUAAUUGUCCUACUGGUGGUCUGUAAGAUGAGUUAGGGUGACUUGCUAAUAGACAUUGUAAAUCUUAAUAUUUAUGUAUGUAUUUUAUUAUUACCGGUUUUCCAUUUAUGAUGGUAAUAUUGUUUCUUCUAAGAAUAUUUAUUUUUCCUUCUAAAUAUUGAGAUAAAAUUCAUGCUUUUGAAAUGUUCUAUUCAGUGGCUUUUAGUAUAUUUGCUAUGUUGUGCAACCAUCGACACUAUCCAUUUCUAGAACUUUUUCGUCAUCCCAAACAGACGCUCUGUAUUCAUAAAAAAAUAACUUCCUACCUGUCUCUCCCCCUAGUCUUUGGUAACCUUUGUUAUACUGGUAAACUUUGUUGUGCUCUCUGUCUGUGUGAAUUUGCCUAUUCUAGGGGCCUCAUAUAAGUGUAAUCAUACAGUAUUUGUCUUUUUGGGUCUGUCUGAUUUCACUUAGCGGGUUUUCAGGGUUCAUUCAUGUUGCAGCAUAUAACAGUACUGCGUUCCUUUUUCUGGCUGAAUAAUAUUCCACUGUAUGGAUAGACCCCAUUUUGUUUAUUCACACAUCAUUUGGACAUUUGGAUUAUUUCUGGUUUUUGGCUAUUAUGAACAAUGGUGCUAUGAACAGUUGCGUACAAGUUUUUGUGUGAACAUAUGUUUUCAAUUCUCUCAUUAUAUACCUAGGAGUAGAAUUACUGGGUCAUAUGGUAACUGUAUAUUUUUGAGGAACUGCCAAACUAUUUUCCCACGUCCAUGCACCAUUUCACAUUCCCACCAGUAAGUAAGAGGGUUCCAAUUUCUGCGCAUUCUUGCCAACACUAGUUAUUAUCUGACUUUCUGGUUAUAAUCAUUCUAAUGAGUGUGAAGUAGCCUCUGGUGUCAUUUGGAUUUGCAUUUCUCUGAUGAGUGAUGCUAUCAAGCACCUUUGCUGGUGCUGUUGGCCAUAUGUGUAUGUUCCCUGGAGAAGUGUCUGUGCUGAGCCUUGGCCCACUUUUUAAUUAGGCGUUUGUCUUUUUAUUACUGAGUUGUAAGAGUUCUUUAUAUAUUCUGGAUUCUAGACCCUUAUCAGAUACAUGGUUUGCAAAUAUUUUCUCCCAUUCUGUGGGUUGUGUUUUCACUUUAUCGAUAAUGUCCUUAGACAUAUAAUAAAUUUGUAUUUUAAAAGUGACUUGAUUUGGCUGUGCAAGGUGGCUCACGCUUGUAAUCCCAGCACUUUGGGAGACUGAGGUGGGUGGAUCAUAUGAGGAGGCUAGGAGUUCGAGGUCAGCCUGGCCAGCAUAGCGAAAACUUGUCUCUACUAAAAAUACAAAAAUUAGUCAGGCAUGGUGGUGCACGUCUGUAAUACCAGCUUCUCAGGAGGCUGAGGCACGAGGAUCACUUGAACCCAGGAGGAGGAGGUUGCAGUGAGCUGAGAUCAUGCCAGGGCAACAGAAUGAGACUUUGUUUAAAAAAAAAAAAAAGUGACUUGAUUUAAGGGAAAAAAUGACUGGCUAUAUUCAGUCAGAUAUGGCAAAAAGUCUCAAGGUGUUAAUGUGAAUGAUUAAGGUCUUGGGGGGGGUGUCCCCUAUCAGACUACAGGUGUUUAGAGGCACAGAAAAAGGUGCAGUUGGGUUCUUAAUGUGAAAUGAUGAGAAGCACAACUCCAGUGUGUCUCUUUGUGUAGAAUGUCAGCAGACACCCCCUGCUAGAUGUGCUGGAUCAUGGGAAAGCAUUUCCAUUUGUUACUAGAUUGUUCAGAAGUUUUAAUUUAUGAUGGGUGUGGUGGCUCAUGCCUGUAGUCCCAGCACUGUGGGAGGCUGAGGCAGGAGGAUCAUCUGAGGCCAAGAGUUCAAGAUCAGCCUGGGCAACAUAGUGAUACCCUAUCUCUUAAAAAAGAAGAAGUUUUUAAAUUUGAAAUAAUAAUAGGUACUGGAUUUAUGCAAAUGUCUUUUCUGCGUCUUUUGAGAUGAGUAUCAGGUUUUUUUUUUUCCUUUUAUCAUCUGAUGAUGAACUUAAUGUUUCCAUUUGUAUUAAUGGAAUACUAAGUCCCUCUGUGAUUUCUGAACCAAGCUAUUCCUAGGCCUGAGUUUUAUUUUGUUGACACAGAAAUAAAUUAGAAGGCCAAGCGUGGUGGCAUGUGCCUGUAGUCCUAGUUGCUGAGGUAAGAGGAUUGCUUGAGCCCAGGAGUUCAAGGCUGCAGCAAGCUUUGAUUGCGCCACUGCACUCCAGCCUUGGCGACAGACUAAGACGCUGUCUCAAAAAAAAACAAAAACGACAAAAAAAAAACAAAACAGAAAAAAUAAACUAAGGCAAUGACAGUCCCUGGCAAAUGCUGGGAGGGAGGCAGCAGUGGUCAGGGAAGGUAACCCUGAAGCAGGACUUGUAAAGCAAAUAAGAUUGGGAGGCCAAGGUGGGUGGAUCACGAGGUCAGGAGUUCGAGACCAGCCUGGCCAACAUAGUGAAACCCCGUCUUUACUAAAAAUACAAAAAAAUUAGCCAGGUGUGGUGGUGGGUGCCUGUAGUCCCAGCUACUUGGGAGGCUGAGGCAGGAGAAUCUCGAACCCAGGAGGCGGAGGUUACAGUCAGCUGAGACCGCACCAUUGCACUCCAGCCUGGGUGACAGAGCAAGAUUCCGUCUCAAAAAAAAAAAAAAAAAAAAAACCAAGAAGAAAAGGAAUGAAUUAGAACUUCUUCUGCUUGGACUUAAGGGCAUCAUCAGGCAGGUUUUGGGUAGGAUAGCAGGGGAGGCAGAGACAUAGUCGGGGUCAGUGGUCAUGAGUGUGGCUUUGAGCCCAAAAACUUGGUUUCUGUUCCCUACUUUGCCACUCAGUAGUGCAUGACUUUGGCCAAAUUUCUUAAAUUCAUGAAGCAAGUUUCCGGGUGAAUGAAAUGGGGAUAAAAAUAGUGUUCAAACCUAUCCGUUGGUUUGUGUGAAACUGAAAUGAAUAGUAUCGUGCAGGUACUUGUGAGCAAGGGGAGCUGCUGUUUCCUGUCCCUUUAUGAUGGGAAAUAUCUAGACAAGUUCCCAACCCUCUGCACUGCAGGCUGCAUGGCACGGAGGGUCUUGUAACACCAGCUGGGGCUGGCCUUCUUUUAGGAGCUUCAGUGGUUCUGAAAACUUUUAUUUGUUUGUUUGUUUUAGUAGAUGUGGGGUCUUUCUGUGUUGCCCGGACUGGUCUCAAACUUCUGGACUCAAGUGAUCCUCCCCCGCUCAACCUCCCAAAGUGUUGGGAUUACAGGUGUGAGCCACUGUGCCCAGCCUUGAAAACUUUUUCAGGUUCUUCCAGGGUUACUGGGCUAUUAAAUAUUUCUAUUUCAUUAUAAGUCAGUUUUUCAAAGUUAUAUUAUCUUAAUUACCUUUUUUAUAUGUAUUAGUGUAGAGUAGCAUUUUAUAUUUUGAUAUCCUCCUUAUGCAUAGUUUUUCACUUUUUAUUCCUAGUUUUUCGUUUUUAAUAAGACUUUCAAGAAAUUUAUUUUAUUGGCCUUUUGAAAAAAGCAGCUUUAGAUAAAGUAAGCAGUUCUGCUUUCAUUUUAUAAUUUAUUUCUACUUUUGUUUCAUUAAUCUUUUCCUCCGGCAUGCCUUGGAUUUUGUUGUGUUACUCUUUUUCUAGAGGCUCGCAUUGUGUGUCUGGUUCACUUAUGAUCACGCUUGCCUACUUUUAAGAAUGGAAGAGGGGAGGUGGAGGGUGGCUGCACAGUCGAGGGUGUGAGGCAGUCUUGCUCUAGCCCCACCAUGCCCUCAGCCCGCUGUGGCCACGCUGGUUCCUCAAUUGCUGGGGCGUGCAGUGUCUGUAAGGGAGGCUACUGAUGCCAUCCGAGGAAGAUGUAAGGUUUCGUGUGGGCAGCGAGAGCCUAGCAGGCAUGUGGGGUGCCCAGCAAAGGGUAACAGUGGACAGUUGUUGCCUCAUUCCACAGAGUUUUGAUUUUUUUUUUUUUUUUAAUGGUCACUCCAUCAACAUCCCCCAUGGCCAGAGCCUGAGCUGGUCCCCAGAGACACAGGCAUUCAGCUGACAGCCUCGCCUUCACGCUGCUGCUGUUCUCAUGGGGGACAGGCCUCAGGUGGCAAUGCACAAAUCAUUAGUUAAGGGCAGUUGUGACAGUUACCAAGGAGUGUAGUCCCCCGCCCCCCGCCCAGUGAAAACAGCCCUAACCAGGGGUGGGGACCUUUGGGCUCUGACCCGAAGGGUAGGAGAAGCUGGAAGGACAGCAUUCCUGUCUGCGAAGGCAGGAGCAAAGCUGCCAGGCUAUGAAGGAAAUGGCUGGAGCCUGAAGUCAUGCAAGCUGGGGCUGGCAGGGACAGGGCCAACUUCCAGGCCUGGGGGCCACCAUGAGGAUUCAGGACGUGACCCCCAGGGCACAUGAAGGCCUUCCAUCUGUAUUUAAGAAAAGACUUUAUCAGACGAGUAUGGUGGCUCACGCCUGAAUCUUAGCACUUUGGGAGGCUGAGGCAGGUGGAUCACGAGGUCAGGAGUUCAAUACCAGCCUGGCCAAUAUGGUAAAACCCCAUCUCUACUAAAACUACAAAAAUUAGCCAGGCAUGGUGGCGCACGCCUGUAGUCCCAGCUACUCGGGAGGCUGAGGCAGAAGAAUCACUUGAACCCGGGAGGUGGAGGUUACAGUGAGCCAAGAUCGCGCCACUACACUCCAGCCUGGGUGACAGAGUGAGACUCCGUCUCAAAAAAACCAAAAGACUUUAUCUUAUUUCCUAUAUGUUUGUGGUUUCAGUCCUGAUGUAUAAUUUGACCCUAGUUAGAAUGGUUAUCUGAGGAAGUGGCCUGUACGAUUUCUGCUUUUUUAAAUGUGUGGCUCCCUUUCUUCAUUGAUUAACGUAUGAUUAUUUUUAUAAAUGUUCCAUGGCAGUGGGAAGGGAUUCUCUGUCACAUUCCACAUCUGGAUCAGUUCCUCCCCAUUUUGUUGGUCAAAUCCGAUCUGCCAUAUCCUGUGUAAUGACAAGUGAGUUGCAUUCUCACCGUCACUCCUGGGGUCUCUCCGCUUCCCCUGAGCUGGCUCAGCAGUCUGCUCCAUGUGUUUUGAUGCAGGGUGACCCAUUGGUAUUCCCGACACUAACGCCCCCGUCUGUGGACUGCUUGCUGCUUGGGCUUCACUGUGUCUGGUGUUGACAGUGCAGACCUAAAGGUGUGCACACAUGUGCACACACACUCCGCUGUCUUCUUGUUUGCACUGGACUUAAAUAUCUAUGAGGGUUAUUUUCAACUGCUGAAUUUGGAAUGAUUUUUAUAUCUUUUCUGCUUUCUGCCCAUGUACAUGUGUUUAUUUUACACUGUUGUGAUUGGUAGUUACUAUGUGGGGACACAAUUACUUGGGCUGAAAUAAUCCACCUGUUGUGGUUGGGGUCCUCUGGGGCAUUCCAGGGUGAGAGGUUGUCACUGCCACCUGGGCCAUGUGGGCCGGCACCAGCAUUUUGUGGUUACGAAUUCUACAGUCACAAAUAUCUUUGGGCAAAUCCCCUUCUAUACCUCAAGGCAGCUUUUGGUUUGCAACCCCACUGGCCAGAGGGAAGGGCCAGUCACUUGGCUCUCUCACUGCCCUGCGCCCCAGAUGGUUCUAGGGCUGCUGUUUUCCCUUGGCCCUGCCAACACCACUGUUUUUACUUCUGCUCAUUGGCUGAGUGCAGUGGUUCCUGGAAGCCAGUGGCACGUUUCCCCGCGUAGCUCGCUUAUCCCACAGCACACACCCAAGGGUUCUGUUGCUAACACGCUGAAUUAAUUCUUUGCUCAUCUUACAGAGUGUGUUUUGACUGCCCCCAUUUCUGAGGCCUUGUAAGGCCAGAGCUUUGUUGCUUCAUCGGCAGGUUGGGACUUAGAUGGCCGUGAAUGUUUCCUCUCUGCUGCUGCAGUAAGUAAGUGCCCGCACCAUAGUGUGUUUGGAGGCUGAAGUUGAAGCGAGGCUGUGAGGGGAGAUGGACGUGUGAGGAGGGAUGAUGGGGCUUGAGCAAAGUGGGGGAGGGGGCAAAGGCAGUUGGCCCAACACAUUCCCCACCCCUUUGAGAGGUCUGAGGCCUGCAGACCUGGCUCGGAGCCCACCUGGUAGUCCUCAGACUGUGUGUGUGUGUGUGUGUGUGUGUGUGUGUGUGUGUGUGUGUGUGUGUGUGUGUGUGUAAAAGAGAGAAGUUGUGGAGAAAUGGGGGGCUGAUUCUGCUCAGAUUCAUCAGGAUGAGUAGAAGGCACCCAGCUCUCACCCUGGCCUGACAUGUGUGUCCCUGAGCAGGUUACAGUCCUCUCUGAGCCUCUGCUUCCCAUCUGGACCCUGCUGGGCAGGGCUUCUGAGCUCCUUAGCACUAGCAGGAGGGGCUCCAGGGGCCCUCCCUCCAUGGCAGCCAGGACAGGACUCUCAAAUGAGGACAGCAGAGCUCGUGGGGGGCUCCCACGGACCCGCCGUGGGCCCAGGGGAGGCAGAGCCUGAGCCAACAGCAGUGGUGCUGUGGACCGUGGAUCCUGAGGGUGGCCUGGGGCAAGUACCGGCUGAGGGUCCAGGUGGGCUUUGUGUACCUUUGGGUCCUGGGGCCCUGGUGACUUGGACUCCAGGUUAGAGUCAAGUGACAGGAGAAAGGCUGGUGGGGCCCUGUGCUUCCGACUUCAUUUCGAGUGAUGGCAGUUCCCAGGAAGGAAUCCACAGCUGACGGUGGCUGACAGAUCAGAGAAUGGAAGGCGAGGCAGGCGGGCGUCUGCGUGACCUCAGGUGCUUGGGGCCCAGCAGACCCAGAGAACCAUUUCCACUAGGCCAGGGUGCCGGAAGUGUCCACAGGUCUUAGAUUCCCUGUUCAGAUGAAAAGAUUUGUGCCUUUAAUGAUAAAAGUGAUCUGCAUAGAGUCAAAAAUUCAAGCCAUGGGUAUAAAAUGCAAGUAAAAUCCCUGCCCUCACCUAUCCCACCCUACUACACAGAGAUGUCCUCUCGAGUUUCCUAGACUCACUCUGGAAAUUUCUGUAUACACACAGAAGCUUGUGCCUCUGCUCGUGAAGGCAGAGGGAGGGAGAGCUGAAGGGCCAGCACCUUCUCACCUGUGGGCCCCCUCAGUGCUCGGUCCCAGAGCAUGCAGGACUGUGCCUCGUGUUCAGUUUGCUGGUCUGACUUCAUGCUCCUUGGGCAGGAUAUGCAUGUGCCAUGCUAGGAGACAUGUGGAUGUGAAGCUGGGGGACAAUGUCCCCUGGCUAUGCCUUUACAAGGGAAGUA
rnacentral:lncRNA from 1 species